rnacentral:misc_RNA from 2 species
AACGCACAUUGCGCCCAUUAGUAUUCUAGUGGGCAUGCCUGUUCGAGCGUCAUUUCAACCCUCGGGCCCGUAUGGGACCGGCGUUGGGGUCUUUUUGCCGUAAGGCAAGCCCCGAAAGCAAGUGGCGGGCCUGCUGAGACCCUAAGCGUAGUAGUUUACACCAUCGCUCUGGGGCGCUUAGCAGGCGACACCAGCCGUUAAAGCACUUCAAGUCUUACAAGGUUGACCUCGGAUCAGGUAGGAAUACCCGCUGAACUUAA